UUUGUUUUAAUUCAUUUUAUGCUGAUUUUUUUUUAAUGUGGUGGCAUGUAUUUAUGAGAGUGCCUGAUACCUGUAUGUUCAAUAAAAAUCUGCCAAAGUUAUAACUCCUUUUCCUUUUUUUAAAAAAAAAUUUCUCGACGUCUCGAAAAACUAAGUCUAUGUUAUAUAGUUGAAUCUCCUCUGAUGUGUGUCUCCUUUCCUUUUUGCAGGCUUCUCGACCCUUCUCCUCUGCUCUCAACUUCAAAUUUCAAGGCUAGGAGAAUAUUUGAUAAAUUAAUGCCAAAUUGAAACCACCGAUCUCGCCACAACCGAUGAUAUUAUCGACUUUCGGCAACGAUUUCGGCAUUGUUCUUGCAGUUUUGGGCGUGGGAUUGUGUGGUGUUGUAAUGGUGCGUGAGGAUGUGUGAUGUAAUUAUGUUUUUUUGCUCUAAUGUAAGAAGUUGAUAUAAUUUAUAAUUUUACUCUUGAAAUAGAUUGUUUAA